AGACUGAAGAACGACUGCCCACCCCCUGAAAAAAUUUCCAUCGUUCUCACUCUAAUUUUGACAUGAAAAAGCAGCCAAACUUCCUAAUUCUAAAGAACCCAGCCGCACCCCACCUCUCUUCAACAUUCUAGCCGCAACUCCCAAAACACCAGCGACACAGACCUCUGCCUAACCAAUUCUUAAAAUUGAAACACUCCCAAAAAUGAGUUAUCUUCCCCAAGUUAAAAUUUAGUAAAUGAAUCCCUAUUUUUUAGUUCCAUUACUCACUGUAUUUCCAAAAUCCCUAACAAAUAAAGAGAGCAACAAGCAGCGACACAUCACUUGAAGAGAAGGACCUAACUGAGCUGCAAUGAUUGAUAAAUUUGUGCAUAUUGGUUCAUAGCUUUGAGCUCACAAAUUUUAAAAUAUGUUCUUAAAAAGAAAUGGAAGAUGUUUCGCUCACAUUGAAUUCUUCUAAUUCUUUGUUUAGCUCACGUUGAGAUUUCACAAAUCCAACACUUUGUCUUCUUAAAAUUCCAAUAAAUCCAAACCAAAAAAUAUAGACUGCGUUUCUUCUUUCCGAUUUGGACUGUGAUUCCCAAAUAUGGAGUUUGACUGUGAUGUUGUUGAGGUGAGUCCGAGCUCGGUUUGGUGAGAUCAGCUCGUCCACGGUUUCGCUUCGGAGUUCGUCAACUCUGUUUGAGGUGACGUACAAGGAGCCGUACAAAGUUUUAGGUCUGAAAGUACGGAUUGCACUCUUUUUCCCUUGAACCGGUUUUGUCCCAAAUGGGUUUUACGGCAAGGUUUUAACGAGCAACAGUAGAUCGUGCUAACUUAGAAUAGAAGACCGGCCAUGAAUCGGUGUUAAGGAUCGCAUCAACAGUAUCCGAGGCUUCUCCCUAUAAUCAACCUCGAAUACUAGGGGGCGUUACCCUCCAAUAUCGACUUUAGGCAAGGAAAUUACUUCGUGAUGGAAGGGUCUCGAUAGGUAGGAUUUAUUGUAAGGGCCAAAUGAUCAAACGAACCGUGCCCGCAUAGAUUGCUCGAGCCCUAACAUAAAGCAUGUAUGCAUGUAUAACUGGUUUGCACUAGAAUAAAGAGAAGUAUCUUCCUUGCAA